rnacentral:tRNA from 1 species
UCGCCCGUGGUGUAAUGGUAGCACGUCAGGUUCUGACCCUGAAAAUCGAGGUUCGAGUCCUUGCGGGCGAACCA